rnacentral:tRNA from 1 species
GCCUGGGUGGCUCAGUCGGUUAAGCAUCUGACUUUGGCUCAGGUCAUGAUCUUGCGGUCUGUGAGUUCAAGCCCCGCGUCAGGCU